ensembl:lncRNA
GUGUCCGACUCUGCAACUCCAUGGACUGUAGCUCACCAGACUCCUCUGUCCAUCUGAUUUCCCAGACAAGAAUAGUGGAGUGGGUUGCUAUUUCCUCCUCCAGGGGAUCUUCCCAACCAAGGGAUUGAACCCACGUCUCCUGCUUUGGCAGGUGGGUUCUAUAUCUCUGAGUCAUCAGGGAAGCCUGAAGGGGACUUACUUAUGGUGGAAUAAGAGGCGAGCAGGAAGAGGUUGGCCCUGGAAGGGAGAUAAAGAAAUGUGAAGAACUCUCCUGAAGCCAUACAGCUCAUUUGUACAGAAUCAAGUUUAGAACUCAGUAUGUUUUCCUCCUAUAUCACACCACUUCAUAGGCAUCCAUUUCAUAGAGUAUGGUGAUUAACAUUAAAAAUUCUGAGCACUGAGCAACAUUAUCCAGCUGGCUGGGAGAACAUUGCCUUCACAUGGUCCUUUAACACAGGCACUUACAAAGCCCUCUACAAGGUCCCAGAGAAUAACAGGAAUUGCACAGAGCUUGAACAUCUGGAAGUUCACAGUUCAUGUACUGCUGAAGCCUUGCUUGCAGAAUUUUGAGCAUUACUUUACUAGCGUGUGAGAUACCCAUAAUACUCUGUGCAAUGGAGAAGGCAAUGGGAACCCACUCCAGUGUUCUUCUCUGGAGAAUCCCAGGGACGGGGUAGCCAGGUGGGCUGCUGUCUAUGGGGUUGCACAGAGUCAGACACGACUGAAGUGACUUAGCAGCAGCAGCAGCAGCAGCAAUACUCUGUGCAUACCUUUACUGUGGCAUUCAUCAUGCUCUACAAAGAACUGAUUUCUCAUGUUUUGCCUUUGGAU